GCACGCGCACACUGUGGGCCAGGGAGGGGCGGGGCUGCAGCUGCAUCUCACACACACUGUCUGCGAAGCUGCUGCUGCCUCAGCUGCAAUGUUGCAUCAGUGCCUCUGGACAAGUGUUUGGGCAGCAAAACCCGUCCCUCACGCUUGGUUCAGAGGGACGGAGUUGUGGCUCCUCUCACUGUUUAAGGAGUGAGGUUGAAGCCAGUGAUGGAAGUGCAGACACAGACACGCGGCUCUGAGUUAGUGUGGGCUUGAUGCUGCACAGAAUGCAGCCGCUCUCAAACUGUCCCUGCAGCAGCAACGUGAGGCCGAUGGGCUUUGGACAAAUGGCAGUGGCCACAUCCCAGGAGUUUAAAAUCUUUCAUCAUUUUACCCCAAUCUUCACACGUGACCACUGCUUUGUUUUACAAGUGGCCACAACCUAUACGUGUUGGCUUCAAUGAGCUGACAGGAACUUCAACUUGGGGAAGAGAGAAAGCGGGAGAGAGCGAGAGAGACUUCACUGAGGACCGUGAUGUGCGCGGUGCCGGGACCCUCGAGUUGUCCACACCAGCCGUCGCCGACAGCACACAAUGAUGUACACAAGCGUGAGGAAAAAGAGGAGGAUGCCGCUCGCAUUUCAACCCAAAUGCAACUGAAACUUCCAGGAAGGAGAAAAAAAAUGUUCAAAGUCACAAUUGCCGGCUCUGCCAAUCAAGUCGUCAUAGCGAGCACCGCUAAGACAGGUUCCUGAAGAAAACUACCUGUGACCACAAGUGAUCAACGUAGAACGAGCUACAGACACUGUGGGAGAAGAACUCGAUGGAUCCCAUCAGAUGGUUCCCCAAGCAGACAGAGGAACUCGCCAACAGUAGUGUGAGGAGCCCUCCCAGUCAGACCCUGCCUGCUCGGUCAGUAAAGCACCCCACUGCACGCUGCCAUUGAGGUGGUUGUGGUGUGGACAACAUUCACCUCCUUAUGCACUGGGUGUUUGACAGGAAGGUCAGAAGAAGAAUGGAAGGGCUCUUGUCAUGGUUCACCCUGAGCAGUUGUGCAUCAGUGAUCUAUGAGCUGUUCACAGGGACGCACAACAAGAUAAAUGUCAACUGCUGCUGGAAGAUCAUUAUCUCAGCGGUAGACUCACGUUGGUCUGCCCAAAAAUUGAUCUUCCUGCAUAAGAUGUGGGUAAAUGAAUUGCUGCCGACUGGCACAUUCCAGGGUGUGAGAGUAUGUGGUGUGUGGGACACACUGAAGCUCAGUGCAGUCAAUGCAGCGGCUGUGGGGGAGUGGGCUUGGUCUAAGGUCCGGCCACCACUAGACACUGAGGGACUCUCAGACACUUCAUGGGAGCACUGUUUAAGGAUGUGUUGUUC